rnacentral:tRNA from 1 species
UGGGGUGUCGCCAAGUGGUAAGGCACGGGAUUCUGAUUCCCGCAUUCCAAGGUUCGAAUCCUUGCACCCCAGCCA